GGCCUCUUGGGUUUAUUAAGAGGUCUGACCUGCCCAGUGAAAAUUUUAACGGCCGCGGUAUUUUGACCGUGCAAAGGUAGCAUAAUCAUUAGUCUUUUAAUAGAAGGCUGGAAUGAAAGGUUUAACGAAUCAUUAGCUGUCUCAUUUUUAUAAUUUAAAACUUAAUUUUUAAGUUAAAAAGCUUAAAUUUUAUUGAUGGACGAGAAGACCCUAUAGAGCUUUAUAUUAAAUUUUUUAAUAAAAUGUUGAUUUAUAUUUAUUUAUUAAAAUUAUUUAUUAUUUUGUUGGGGUGACAGAAAUAAAUAAUUAACUUUUUUAUAAUUUAACCAUUAAUAUAUGAGUUUUUGAUCCAUCACUGUUGAUUAUUAGAUUAAGUUACCUUAGGGAUAACAGCGUAAUCUUUUUUUGGAGUUCAAAUUUACAAAAAGGCUUGCGACCUCGAUGUUGGAUUAAGAUUAUAAUUUGGUGCAGUAGCUAAAUUAAUAGGUCUGUUCGACCUUUAAAUUCUUACAUGAUCUGAGUUCAGACCGG
rnacentral:rRNA from 1 species